AUUGAACGCUGGCGGCAGGCCUAACACAUGCAAGUCGAACGAGUCGCGGACUGGUGAGUAAUUUCUGGGAAACUGCCUGAUGGAGGGGGAUAACUACUGGAACCGGUAGCUAAUACCGCAUACCAUCAGAUGUUCCCAGAUGGGAUUAGCUAGUGGGGGGGGUAACGGCUCACCAAGGCGACGAUCCCUAGCUGGUCUGAGAGGAUGACCAGCCACACUGGAACUGAGACACGGUCCAGACUCCUACGGGAGGCAGAAUUGGGGAAUUUUGCACAAUGGGCGCAAGCCUGAUGCAGCCAUGCCGCGUGUAUGAAGAAGGCCUUCGGGUUGUAAAGUACUUUCAGCGGGGAGGCGUUACCCGCAGAAGAAGCACCGGCUAACUCCGUGCCAGCAGCCGCGGUAAUAC
rnacentral:rRNA from 1 species